AAAUAGACCCGAUGGAAAUGGAAAUCCCUUUUGGAACAGAAAAUUUGCUUUUCAUUCAAAACUUUCCAAAAGGAUUGCAAUGUACAGCGGGACCAGAC
rnacentral:sRNA from 1 species